UACGUAGGUGGCAAGCGUUGUCCGGAUUUAUUGGGUUUAAAGGGUGCGUAGGCGGCUCUGUAAGUCAGUGGUGAAAUACUCCAGCUUAACUGGAGGGGUGCCAUUGAUACUGCAGGGCUUGAGUGGAGUCGAAGUAGGCGGAAUUGACGGUGUAGCGGUGAAAUGCUUAGAUAUCGUCAAGAACACCGAUAGUGAAGACAGCUUACUAGGCUUCUACUGACGCUGAGGCACGAAAGUGUGGGGAUCAAACAGG
rnacentral:rRNA from 1 species